UAGUUGUGUGGUAAGAUAUUUGUCUGCUCUUCUUCGUCGUAGGUUUUGUUUAGGUUCUAGGGUUAGGUUUUCCCUAAAUUAGAUUCGUUUGCUGUGGAUUUUUGCCUCAGUUGAAGGUUAGGAGCUUCAAUUGAUGAUCAUCGCUGGCUCGAUCGUUGCUUCUAUGGUUUGAUGAUUUGGUUAAUUUGAAGCUUAUUAUCGCUAAUUUUUUUAUGGUGAUUUUCGAGAUUUAAUCAUGAUUGUGUUUUUGGCGGUGGAUCUGGUGUUUUGAAGGAUCGAACGGGAUGGGUACCAGUUUUUGCACUAGUUUCGGUUUGUUUAUGUGGUAAUUUCUGGUGGUAAUUUCUGGAUCAUUCCAAUUAUCGGACAAAUUUGACAUCAAAUUUCCUUCAAAGUUAGCCCUUUUUGGUUCUUCUUUUUGGUUUUCUUGCUGUGGUUCUUGUAGAAUGAUGGAUUUCGGGCCAUGUGGAGUGGGAAGGAACUAUCUCUUGGAUGGAUGUGAGGGUAAUCUGAAUCUGGAGUUUUUAUUUCAUUCAUAUUUGUGGUUGUUAUUGUUGUAGGCGGUGCUCUUGACUUUCAGUAGUUUUGGUGUGGUGACGAUCGAGGAUUGAUGAGGAAGAUUCAACUUUUACUAUUGUUGGGUUUGUUGAUUUGUAAUUUCUGGAUCGUUCUUUGUUAUCAAGAUUUUCGUGUUUUCUUUUUCUGGUUCUUUUGAUGUUCUCGUUGUGGCGUGGCAGAAUCCUAGUCUUCGGUGGGGCUAAAAAAGACUUUCUGGACGCGAAUAUUAUACGGCAUCGGGAGUGUUUUCCCUCGUCCCUUUUUUGGUUUCCCUUUUUAUUUCCUGAAAAAAUUAGUCGGGGAGUCUAUCAGUAACUGGCCUUAUGUGUUGUAUUGAUUUAGGGGAGCUUGGAUGCAAGAGGGUUUACCCUGCUAUACUGGUUUACCAAAUUCGAGAGAAGUUUUCUCUGUCCUCCUUUUCUGCUGUUUGACGGAGUUUUCUGGCUAUAGAUGCUGAGUUGCUCAGCGAGGUGUUCGUUUUCUGAUUUGCUUCAUUACUUGUGUUGUGCAAUAUAGGAUUUCUGUGAUUCGGAGUUGUGGUGAUAACUGAGCCUUCCUUCCUCAGAUGGUAAACUGAUUUGGAGGGAGUUAUCUUGUCACCCAUAAUCUUGUGCUUCAGGAAUUUAUGCUUUUGGCAUCUUUUGAUAUCUGCACGCGGUUUUAUCGAGUUUUUUUUUUCUUUUUUAGAACUUACAGGACACACACUGUUGAAAUAGCUUUCAACCUCUCCAUUCAAUUUGCCUGCACCUAUUUCGCUGCUCUUCUCUUAAGUCUAGGAUUGUGUUGUGCAAUAUAGGGUUUCAGUGAUUCGGAGUUGUGGUGAUAACUGAGCCUUCCUUCCUCUGGGUCUUCUCGGAGUUGCGGUGAUAACUGAGCCUUCCUUCCUCAGAUGGUAAACUGAUUUGGAGGGAGUUAUCUUCUCACCCAUAAUCUUGUGCUUCAGGAAUUUAUGCUUUUGGCACCUUUUGAUAUUUGCACGCUGUUUUAUCGAUUUUUUUUUCUUUUUUAGAACUUACAGGACACACUGUUGAAAUAGCUUUCAACCUCUCCAUUCAAUUUGCCUGCACCUAUUUCGCUGCUCUUUUCUUGAGUCUAGGAUUGUGUUGUGCAAUAUAGGGUUUCAGUGAUUCGGAGUUGUGGUGAUAACCGAGCCUGCCUUCCUCGGAUGGUAAACUGAUUUUGAGGGAGUUUUCUCACCCAUAAUCUUGUGCUUGAGGAAUUUAUGCUUUUGGCACCUUUUGAUAUCUGCACGCUGUUUUCUCGAGUUUUUUUUUUCUUUUUUAGAACUUCAGGACACACACUGCUGAAAUAGCUUUCAACCUCUCCAUUCAAUUUGCCUGCACCUACUUUGCUGCUCUUUCUCUUGAGUCUAGGAUUAGGUUUUCCCUAAGUGAGAUUCAAUUGUUGUGGUUUUUUGUUUCAGCAGAAGGUUAGGAUCUUCAAUUGAUGAUCUUCACUGGGUUCGACCGUUGCUUCUAUGGUUUGAUGAUUUGAUUAAUUUGAAGCUUAUUAUCGCUAAUUUUGUUAUGGCAAUUUUUGAGAUUUAAUCAUGGUUGUUUCCGGGCAGUGGCUCUGGUAUUUCGAAGGAUUGAACGGGAAGGAUACCAUUUUUUGCAGUAGUUUUGGUUUGUUUUUGUGGUAAUUUCUGGAUAAUUCCAAUUAUCAGACAAAUUUGACAUCAAGUCUCCUCCAAAAUUAGUGCUUUUCUGGUUUUUUUGAUGUGCUUACUGUAGAAUGAUGGAUUUCGGGCAUGUACAGUGGGAAGGAACUCUCUCUUGGAUGGAUGUAAGCGUAAUCUGAAUCCUGGAGUUUUUUUUUCGUAUCUGUGGUAUGGUUAUUGUUGUUCUUAUUGCUGUAGGUGGUGCUCUGGACUUUGAAUAGUUUUGGUGUGGUGUCGUUCGAAGAUUGAUGAAGAUUUGUGUUUUUACAAUUGUCGGGUUUGUUGAUUAGUAAUUUCCCGAUUGUUCUUUGUUAUCAAGAUCGUCGUCUUUUCUUUUUCUUGUUCUUUUGAUGUCCUCCUCGUGGCUUGGCAGAAUCCUAGUCUUAGGUGGAGCUGGCAGAAUCCUAGUCUUAGGUGGAGCUAAAAAAGAUAUUGCAUCCGAAUAUUAUACGAUAUUGGGAGUUUUUCCCCCCUCCCUUUUUGGUUUCCUUUUUUAUUUCCUGAAAAAAUUAGGCGGGGAGUCAAUUAGUAACUGGCCCUCUCUGUUGUAUUGAUUUAGGGGAGCUUGAAUGCAAGAGGGUCUGGUUGCAUUUUUUAUCCUGCUAUACUGGUUUACAAGAUUCCAGAAGUUCUCUGUCCUUGUUUUCUGCUGUUUGACUAGGGAGUUCUCUGGCUAAAGGUGCUGGUUUGCUCUGUGAGACAGCUGUGUUCGUUUUCUGAUUUCCUGCAUCAAUCUGUGUUGUGCAAUACCGGGUUUCAGUGAUUUGGAGUUGUGAUAACUGAGCCUUCCUUCCUCAGAUGGUAAACUGUUUUGGAGGGAGUUAUCUUCUUACAAUCUUUUACUUAGGAAUUUAUGCUUUUGGCACCUUUUGAUACCUGUACACAGUUUUGUUGAGUAUUUUUCUUUUCAGAACUCCGGGAGAAACACCAUUGAAAUAGCUUUCAACCUCUCCAUCCAAUUUGCCUGCACAUACUUUGCUGCUUCUCCAUCAGAGUUAUCUUUGCCCAUUUGUUGUCUUCAGGGUUUUGAAUUUAUUUUGGUUCCAUAUGGUCCUCAGAUGCUUAGGAUUGUGUCAAUAUGGCAAUAUUGCUGCUGUCAGGUAUUUCUUAGCUUUUAAAUUCUGCCAUCAAAGAUGUUUUUCUAGGUAGUUCCCAUAGAAUUUUCUUCUUGAUCCGAACAAGAAUCAAGUUUAUGCUUGUUACAUGAAUAGGUUUAGUGUUAUGGUAGAUUAUCUGAAUUUGUCAAUUCAUUUGUCAGUUCUCAUCUUUGCAUCCAAUUUCAUUUUUGUUGGCUUUUUGUGUCACUGGCAACUUUAAUGAGAGGAAGGUCUCUUGUAUGUUAUUCUGUGAAUUAAUUGGACGUAUUUGAACAUAAUCUCUUAUUUGGGGCUCAACAUUGGUGUUUCAGUCGUUGCUUUAGGUUGUGUUGCUGCUAUAUGUCGUGGCUCUGGGUUUCAGCAAUUUCUCUGUGGUGUUGAUUGAGGAUUGAUCUUGAGGUUUUGCGGUUUGUUGAUGUAGUUAUUCUUGAAUGGUUCUGGUUGAUGUUUAAAGGUUGUCUUCUUUUCUGGUUCUUUGAUGUGGUCUGAGAAUGAUGGAGUUCUGCGUAUGGAAGUAAUUCUUGGAUGGAGGGAAGCAAAAAAGAGCUUCUUGGAUGGAUGAAUGUGAUAAAUCGGGAAUUUUUUUCUCUGCCAACCAAUUCUUUCUUUUGCAUACAAAUAGCUGGUAUUCGUUGGUAAUAGCUUAUCUGUUGUCUUCAUUUUAGGGAAGUUUGGAUUGGAGCAUUCGCGUCAUUUGUGUGACCUGCUAUUACAGCUUACAAGAUUUUGGAGGAGCUCUCUUUCCCUACUUGUUUUUCUGUUGUUUCCUUGAAAUUGAUUAGGAAAUUUGUGGAUUUGCUCCUUGUUCUCUAAUUUCCCAUAUUACUAUGGUGCUGCAACUUAGGGUUUCAGUGAAGUGAUUUGUGAUUCUUGGAUGGAUGGAAGCAAAAAAGAGCUUUUCUUCGAUGGAUGAAUGUGAUAAAUCGGGAGUUUUUUUUUCUGCCAAGCAAUUUUUUCUGUUGCAUAAAAAUAGUUGGUAUUCGUUGGUAAUAGCUUAUCUAUUGUCUUCAUUUUAGGGAAGUUUGGAUUGGAGCGUUCUCGUCAUUUGUGACCUGCUAUUCCAGUUUACAAGAUUUUGGAGGAGCUCUCUCUUUCCCUACUUGUUUUUCUGCUGUUUCCUUGAAAUUGAUUAGGAUAUCUGUGGAUUUGCUCCUCUCCUCUAAUUUCCCAUAUUACUAGGGUGCAGCUUGGGGUUUCAGUGAAGUGAUUCGUGCUUCAAACUUGCCUUCCCAAUCUCAGAUCAAGGGCUAGUUAAAUUUUUUGGAGGGAGUUAUUUUCUCACCUACACAAAUUGUUCUUUUGUGCUAGAGGAAUUUAGGGGUUUCAAUGCCUUAAUUAUAAUUUCUCUGUGAAUCUUUUUGGCCUGGCGGCAUGUCUUGCAGAGUCAACUUUCCUGAUCCACGAUGAAUAGAAUGGGUCAUAACCAAGUGCAUCUCUGUGCUUAUUCAAGUUUAUUUGUAUGGGUGGGGUUCCUGGUAUUUUGCUCAUUCAGCUUGAUCUGAAGAAGUGUUAAGGCUAUGCAUAUUGGUCUGAUUGCAUGAACUCUCUACUUGAGAUGGAACAUGGGCUUUUUGGAUGCGAUGUUUCUUAGAAUUAUGGGAUGCGGUUCUUCUUGGAAUUAUGGAAUUGAUGUGAUGGUGAUCCUUAAUUUUGAGUUUUGCUUUCUGCUUUAUUUUUGUAUUGCUGUACUCAGUUGCUCUGGUUUUGAGCAGUUCCCCUAUAGAGUUGAUUGGUAAAAAGACGGUAAAAAGAUUUUGAGGUUAAUGACGGUUUGUUUUGUUCUUGGUGAUUUUUCAAGAUUUGUCUUCUCUUCUUUGGCUCUUUCGAUGUCAUUUUCUCAAGAUGUCAUUUUUCAAGAAUAGUGGAUUUCUGGUAUGAGGAGGCUAGAAGAGCUCUCUCUUGGAUGGAUGUGAAUAAAAUCGGGAGAUUUUCUUUUCAAUCUGGUCUUUCUUUGUUCUCUCUUGCCUGAAAAAAUCAGGGUGGUGAUGGCUUCUUUCUGUUUUGAUUUUAGGGAAGCUUGUUCCAGGAGUGUCGGUGUGUUUGGUACCCUGCUAACUGGUUUUGUAACAAGAUAUUGGAUAAGCGCUCUCUUUCCCUACUCUCUUUUUUUUGACUGUUUUGUUUAAAAAAUGAUUUUCUCUGCUUGUUCUUUAAUUUACUAUGUCUGUGUCGAAUCAGAGGGGUGGCCAAAACAUAGGUCUCUGUCCUCAGGUCGAAGGCUAGUACAUUAUUAUAGAGGGGUUUAUCUUCAUACCUAUGCUCUUAUUAUUCUUUUUUGGCUUGAGCAUUUCAAGAGUUUUGGUACUUUUUGAUGUCUGUAGAAAGUAUAAUCUAAAUUCUUUGUAAAUCUCUUCCUCCAUAGUCCACCAUGCUUGUAGAAAUGCCUUAUGCAUUAUUUGUUGUCAGUAAUUUCUUGAAAGUCUCUGUUCCUGAUCCUCAAGGAAAAGUUAUCACUGUGUGUUUUGUUCUUGUUGAUUUUUCAAGAUUUGUCCUUUCUUCUCUGCUUCUUUUGAUAUCUUUCAAGAAAAGUGGAUUUGUGGUGUGUGUAGGCGAGGAGCUCUCUCUUGGAUGGAUGGGAAUAAAUCGGGGGAUUUUCUUUUCAACCUGCUAUUUCUAUGUUCUCUUUCCCUGAAAAAAUCACUGGGGGUGGUGGGUGAUGGCUUUUGUCUUUUUUGAUUUUUAGGAGCUUGUUCCCGGAGUGUUGGUGCAUUUGGGGCCCUGCUAACCAGUUUUGUAACAAGAUUUUGGAUGAGCUCUCUUUCGUUGCCUUUUUUUUUUGCUGUUUUCUUUAAAAUGGAUUUUCUUUACUCGUUCUCUAAUUUGCUAUAUUAUUUUGUGUUGAAUCCUGGAUUUCAGUGAUUCGGAGGUGUGGUUAAAACAUAGGGGUCUGUUCUGUCGUCGGUAGUUUAUCUUUUGUGCAUGAGGAAUUUAGGGGUUUUGAUACCUUAUUUGUAAUUUUUCUGUUAAACUUUUCUUAUUGUUUGUUACCUGGUCUGGCAGUAAUUCCUGCAGAGUCAACUCUCCUGAUCCAUGAGAAAUGGAUUGGCGUAUAACCAAGUGUUAAAUUCUGUCAUCUUAACAUGUUUGUAUAGGUAGGGUUUUUGGUGUUGCCGAUUCAUCAUGGUCUGAAGAAGAAUGAAUGCUACAUUUAUCAGUUUUGAUAAAUAUGGCAGAUCUACAAUUUUUAUUUCAUCUUUGUGCCAAGUUGAAGUCUGUGUUGGCUAUUCAUGUAAUCACACACUUACAGAAUUCCAGUGAGGGUGGUGACAGAGUAUGGUACUCUUCUGAUGUCAAGCCUAUUAUAUAAUUUAAAUUUAAUUUAAAAUUUUCAUGAUCCUUUUCUUCUAUAGUCCAUCAUGUUUAUGGGAAUACCUUAUGCAUCAAUUAUUCUGGCAGUAAUCACUUGGGAAGUCCAUGUUCCUGAUCCUCAUUUAAGAGUACAGAUUUGUGUAUCACUGCUUAAUCCCAACUGUUAGUUCCUGGACUCCUGCAACCAGCCCUAAUUCACCUCCACUGAUUUUGCGGCUGCUCCAUUAAUUUCCGAUUAGCUUAAUCCCAGGCCCUUCCUUUCUUUGGGGACUGUUUUCUUGUUAACUCAUAUAAUUCUGAAAAGAAUUAACGUUAUGCUUGGUAUGCUAAUUUGUUUUGAUGGUAUGUAUAUAAUCUAAAUUUCUGGAUGGUGGCAACUAAUAGACGGCUCUGAUAUUGGUUUUCAUCUUGGUGUCAGAGUUUAAGUUGGGUUCUGAUGUCCUGGUAUCCCUUGCAGAACUCUAAUCUUAGCGAGAGGAUUGUGAAGAAAUAGAGGUCUCUUGGAUGUUCUGAUGUCCUGGUACUGUGGUUAGAGGUCUCUUGGACGUUAUUCUUUUUCAGAUGUUCUGAUGUCCUGGUACUGUGGUUUGAAUCAUGGAAUCUCUCUUCAUGCUGUCCUGUUGUGUUUGUUGAAAACAUUACUGAUGCAUUCGUCAGGCUUUAUAAUUUGUUUAAUUCUGCAGAUUGGAUAUAGGAGCUUUGAUCAUGGUUAGGUGCUCGAGUAACAGGUUCAAGAAAAAUGUUUUAUUCGUUAUGAGUAUUCAUGAGCUUUUGAUGGAUGAAUUCUGAAUUAGUCAUGAUAGUUACCCUGUUAUGCUGUGUUUUCAGCGUUUUACUAUUGAAGUUCAUUAGGAAGUAUUUGAAAGAAUAAAGGGUGCAUAGAAAUAUUUGGUUUGUCGUGUUCGUCAGGGUCCGGUAUAAGUUCUUGGAAAAUUUUGACAUCAAUUAGCUUCUUGAUCUGUUAAAACUGUCACUAUUCGAUGUUCUUGCAUAGAAUGACAGAUGGGGGGUGAAUUAUCAGAAUUAGGGGAUGCAAAGAAGAACUUCAGAGGAAUGGGAAAAAUUAUGGUUUACCCUGAUCCUGAUUGAUUUUGCAUAUGCUGUGUGUGAUUAUUGCUGGGCUUAUUAUUAGUCUUAUCUGGUUUCCAUUUAGGGAGCUUAUUUGCAAGAAUCUCUGGUUAUAUUGUUACCUGGUAUUGUGAUCUACAUGAUUUCGAAGGAGCUCUCCUCUCGUGGUUGUGCCUGGUUUUCUUUGUGGUUUAAUUUCAGGAAGAGCUGGGAGUUGAACUCAGAUGUAUGUUUUCAAGCCUGAAUUUCUGCAUUACUAACCCAUCCUAGUUGCAUGCUACUGAUCACCCAUGAAAUCGAAGCAGAUGUAGAGGUUUUUUUUAUCCCUGAUCAUUUGUAAUGGAUGUCUUGAGCGCAACUGCAGUGUCAUUUUGUUUGUCCUGGUUUAUUCACGACGGUGUUUUUAAUAUUCAAUGAAGUUUGCAGAUUCUGCUUUGAUAGCAUGAAAGGAGUUUUGGUGGGUCUUUAGCAAAGUUUUGUAUAUUCUUGUAGCAAACAUGCUUAUUCCAGUGAAUUUAAGAUAUCCAGAAAUUGGGAUUUUCUAUUUUUGUCUCCUUUCAAGUCAUAUAGAUGGUAAAGAUGUGGCUCUUCCUAGUCUACAUGGAAUUUGAUUGACGAUUUUGAUGUUUGAAUGUGGAAAGAAACUUCUGAUAUGCCAUGGGGUGCGGCCUAAGAUGCAACUCAGUAUGGGUUCAUGGUCAUGGCGAAGUAGGUAUAUUUCUUGCCUCCUAUCGUUCUUGGGCUUUUGGUGUGUGGUAUUUGGUAUGUCCAUUAUUGUUGAAGAGGGUCUAACGGGAGUCUUCCUCUAUCACCAUUGAAUACUCAGCUGCUAGCGUUCAUCAUCUACAGUUGAAUGGAAGAGAAAUUCGGUUAUUCUCAGUUAGAUUCAGUCAUGUUAGAACAGAUGCAUGCAAUAUCUGCUUUCGUAGUCAUGUAAGAACAGGUACUGGUAUUGUUCAGUCAUGUAAUAACAGAUGAUGUCAUGUAAGAACAGGUACUGUUAUUGUAGUCAGUCAUGUAAAAACAGAUGCAUGCAAUCUGUUUUUGUAGUCAUCAACUUACAUACCACUGGUACUGGUAUUGUGUGUGAAUUUCAUUUCAUACUUGAAUUUUGUGAUCCUCUGGUACGUAGGUUUAGUAUGCAACUUUAAAGUGCAUGUAACUGAAUUCUGUCGUCCUUGGGAAGAAGCUGUUGGACAAUCUUUGCUUAUGGUCCUAACAGAUAUGGUGUGGCAUCAAGAGGUCCAAUCUAAGAUCGGCAAUAGUAUGCGUUGCUGUUUUGGGAGAUGGUUCCAUUUUGGCAGGCCCUGGCACAGGUUUUUAUGUUCAUAUAUAACCAUUUGUAAAUGAUUGACAAAUUGAGAGGAAUCCAAAUGCCUUGUUUACGAGUAUCGAAAAUCAUUAAUUUGGUUGAA